UCUACGGGUGGCAGCAGUGGGGAAUAUUGGGCAAUGGGCGCAAGCCUGACCCAGCAACGCCGCGUGAAGGAAGAAGGCCCUCGGGUUGUAAAAUUAUUUUAUCAAGGACGAAACAAAUGACGGUACUUGAUGAAUAAGCCACGGAUAACUACGGGACAGCAGCCGCGGUAAGACGGAGGUGGCAAGUGUUAUACGGAUUUACUGGAUGUAAAGGUCGUGGAGGCGGGACUGCAAGUCAUAUGUGAAAACCAUGGGCUAAACCCAUGGACUGCAUUUGAAAAUGUAGUUCUUGAGUGGUGGAGAGGCAGGCGGAAUUCCGUGUGUAGCGGUGAAAUGCGUAGAUAUACGGAGGAACACCAGUGGCGAAGGCGGCCUGCUGGACAAUAACUGACGCUGAGGCGCGAAAGCGUGGGGAGCAAACAGGAUUAGAUACCCUUGUAGUC
rnacentral:rRNA from 1 species